rnacentral:rRNA from 3 species
UUCAUGGAGAGUUUGAUCCUGGCUCAGGACGAACGCUGGCGGCGUGCCUAAUACAUGCAAGUCGAGCGGACCGACGGGAGCUUGCUCCCUUAGGUCAGCGGCGGACGGGUGAGUAACACGUGGGUAACCUGCCUGUAAGACUGGGAU